UGUCAAACAGACACUCACAGCAUCCUCAACGAUGGAGGCAGAGUAUAUGGCGUGUUAUGAGGCUACUUGUCAGGCAAUAUGGCUGCGGAACUUCAUUUCAGCAUUGGGUGUUAUGGACUCUAUCUCGAGGCCGCUGAAAUUGUAUUGUGAUAAUUCCGCAGCAGUAGCUUUCUCUAGAAAUGUUAGAAGUACUUCUCGUUCUAAACACAUUGACAUAAAGUAUUAUUUUGUUAAAGAGAAAGUUACAGAGUCUUUUAUUUCCAUUGAAUACACGCCCAGUACUGGCAUGUUAGCAGACCCACUAACGAAAGGCUUACCCAUAUGUGUAUUUUUAGAGCAUGUUGCUCGAAUGGGAUUGUUAGGAGCCUAGCUUGUUGAGCUCAGUGGGAGUUUUAUUAUUAUGUAUCGGACAUGCUAGUAUCUUGUAUGGAAUGCUUAUGAUUAAUGUUUUGAACAUGCAUAAUGAUAUUGUAGUCACUUCUAGUUAUUGUUGACAUAUGUGUGCAUAUAUGUGUUAUUCAUCGAAGUGACAGGUACAAAAGGAGAUGAAUGCGCAUAGUCUCAAUUUUGUUGUACCUCAUGCAUGUUUGGUUUGAUUGUUAAUGAUUGUUAUUGAAUUAAAAUGUCUUUGAGGUCAAUUCAUACAUAAUAUAUGUAUCCCGUCGAUAUGAUAUUAUGUACGUUUUUAAUUGGUUACCUUAUGUGUGGUAGACAAUGUUAUGGUGAUUGAUUAUAUUGUCCAAGUGGGAGAAUGUUAGAAUUAUUUAUUUGUGGACUAAUAUAAUACCAUAAUUACAAUCAUUAAUUAUGUGCCUAAUAUUUCUCAUACAACCAUAAUGGGAUGGUUAACAACUAUUAAUUAUUUAGAGGCACAUGAGAGCACCCAUAUGACUAUAAUUGGCCCAUUGAGUUAUAGUCCACCAUCAAUUAGUCCUUAUUAACCCAAUAAGCUAUAUAACCCUUUAGGGUUAGAUGGGUAUGUGAGAAAAUAUACAUAUAUAUUAAGGAUGAAAAGUGUGUGCUAAGGGAUGAUGGUUAGACAUAAGUGGGUUUGCUCCACAAUUGUCUCUUGAUUACUCUUCACUCUCUAGAAUAUUGUUUUGUGUGUUUUGGACUUGGAUAUUGAUCAAUGGCUCAAUAUGAUGGGAUGAGCAAUAUGGGAGUGUAAAUCGAGCUUAGAGGUGGUGGUUGUAGCUCCGACCACUAGAUUUGGUGUAGAAAUUGUUGAAUCUCAACGUCCAUUAAGGUAAAGGGAAGGGUAAAGAGGACCAACCAUGAGUCAGAGGUUUUCUAGCAGUGCACAUAUCAACCACGGUGCCUCGGUUUUCAGUGGACAAGAUCAAUCCUUUUGAUAAUAUUUUGAAAUGUAAUCUUAUUUUGUAAUAGAAAUUUUGGAACAGGAUGUAAAAGUUUUGAACAAGGAAUCCCCGUACUUAAUAGUGGUUUUGCU